rnacentral:rRNA from 1 species
UACGUAGGGUGCGAGCGUUGUCCGGAAUUACUGGGCGUAAAGAGCUCGUAGGUGGUUUGUCGCGUUGUUCGUGAAAACCGGGGGCUUAACCCUCGGCGUGCGGGCGAUACGGGCAGACUGGAGUACUGCAGGGGAGACUGGAAUUCCUGGUGUAGCGGUGGAAUGCGCAGAUAUCAGGAGGAACACCGGUGGCGAAGGCGGGUCUCUGGCAGUAACUGACGCUGGAGGAGCGAAAGCGUGGGAGC